rnacentral:rRNA from 1 species
GGAUGAUACUAAGCCAUGCGAGUCAUUGUAGCAAUACAAGGCAGACGGCUCAGUAACGCGUAGUCAAUCUACCCUAUGGACGGGAAUAACCUCGGGAAGCUGAGAAUAAUGCCCGAUAGAACAUUAUACCUGGAACGGUUUAUGUUUCAAAUGAUUUAUCGCCGUAGGAUGGGACUGCGGCCUAUCAGUUUGUUGGUGAGGUAAUGGCCCACCAAGACUAUUACAGGUACGGGCUCUGAGAGGAGUAGCCCGGAGAUGGGUACUGAGACACGGACCCAGGCCCUAUGGGGCGCAGCAGGCGAGAAAACUUUGCAAUGUGCGAAAGCACGACAAGGUUAAUCCGAGUGGUUUCUGCUAAAGAAACCUUUUGCUAGUCCUAGAAACACUAGUGAAUAAGGGGUGGGCAAGUUCUGGUGUCAGCCGCCGCGGUAAAACCAGCACCUCAAGUGGUCAGGAUGAUUAUUGGGCCUAAAGCAUCCGUAGCCCGUUUUGUAAGUUUUCGGUUAAAUCCAUACGCUCAACGUAUGGGCUGCCGGGAAUACUGCAUAACUAGGAAGUGGGAGAGGUAGACGGUACUCGGUAGGAAGGGGUAAAAUCCUUUGAUCUAUUGAUGACCACCUGUGGCGAAGGCGGUCUACCAGAACACGUUCGACGGUGAGGGAUGAAAGCUGGGGGAGCAAACCGGAUUAGAUACCCGGGUAGUCCCAGCUGUAAACUAUGCAAACUCAGUGAUGCAUUGGCUUGUGGCCAAUGCAGUGCUGCAGGGAAGCCGUUAAGUUUGCCGCCUGGGAAGUACGUACGCAAGUAUGAAACUUAAAGGAAUUGGCGGGGGAGCACCACAAGGGGUGAAGCCUGCGGUUCAAUUGGAU